rnacentral:tRNA from 1 species
GGUAAUUAUAAUUCAACGGUAGAAUAUACGCUUGUGGUGCGUCAUAUCUGGGUUCGAUUCCCAGUAUUUACC